rnacentral:lncRNA from 1 species
AAGAGACACAAAAGAGAACUAACUGUAUACUGAAAGUGCAUAAAAGCUUCAGGCUGAAGCAGAAUCUAAGGAAUAACAAAAUAUAAUAAAUGAGAAAAGUUACACACACAGAGAUAAUAUGAUGCAGUCUAACAUCCACAGUUUAAUGGUACAAUGGCAGUGGGAAUCAUUUUGCUUACCAGAGGAUUCCAGAUGAAAUAAGGAUUCGAGACAGGGUAAAUUAUCCCCAGAAAGUUUUCUGUCCAUUGAUUGAAGAGGAAGUCCAGAAAGCUUGGUGUUUUAACUUAUAGGCAGUUGCUGCUCUAAUGUGUGCCGGAACAUGGUUAACUCCCUCUCCUGCUUCCACUCCCCUCCCAAAGUUCCAGGAAAUCGUUUUGAUGGUGAUACACACAAAGCACAUUUAUAAAAGAAGCCUCUCAGCUCCUAUUCUGAAUAUGUUUUAUGUAUUAAAAUGUGUCAUCUUGAAGUAGAAUUCUGGAAUCUAAUCUCCUCUUUCUUUUGGUUGCCAUCUGGACACCUCAAU